GACGAACGCUGGCGGCGCGCUUAACACAUGCAAGUCGAACGGAAAGGCCUGCUUUCCCUUGUGGAUUGCGGGUACUCGAGUGGCGAACGGGUGAGUAACACGUGAGUGAUCUGCCCCCAACUUGGGUAUAGGCCUGGGAAACUGGGUCUAAUUCCCGAUAGGACUGCAGGGUGGUGCCUGUGGUGGAAAACGAUUUUCUAGUGGUUGGGGAUGAGCUCGCGGCCUAUCAGCUUGUUGGUGGGGUAAUGGCCUACCAAGGCGGCGACAGGUAGCCGGCCUGAGAGGGUGGACGGCCACAUUGGGACUGAGAUACGGCCCAGACUCCUACGGGAGGCAGCAGUGGGGAAUAUUGCACAAUGGGCGGAAGCCUGAUGCAGCGACGCCGCGUGGGGGAUGACGGCCUUCGGGUUGUAAACUCCUUUCGACCGCGAGGAAGCCACCUGGUUGGAAGGGUGGUGACGGUAGUGGUAGAAGAAGCACCGGCUAACUACGUG
rnacentral:rRNA from 1 species